GGGGUAUAGUGACACAGUAACAGAGGGAUUGAGGGCCCUGCUCAGUGAGUUUACAUGUUAGAGGGAGUGGGGUAUAGUGACACAGUAACAGAAGGAUUGAGGGCCCUGCUCAAUGAGUUUACAUGUUAGAGGGAGUGGGGUAUAGUGACACAGUAACAGAGGGAUUGAGGGCCUGCUCAGUGAGUUUACAUGUUAGAGGGAGUGGGGUAUAGUGACACAGUAACAGAGGGAUUGAGGGCCCUGCUCAGUGAGUUUACAUGUUAGAGGGAGUGGGGUAUAGUGACACAGUAACAGAGGGAUUGAGGGCCUGCUCAGUGAGUUUACAUGUUAGAGGGAGUGGGGUAUAGUGACACAGUAACAGAGGGAUUGAGGGCCUGCUCAGUGAGUUUACAUGUUAGAGGGAGUGGGGUAUAGUGACACAGUAACAGAGGGAUUGAGGGCCCUGCUCAGUGAGUUUACAUGUUAGAGGGAGUGGGGUAUAGUGACACAGUAACAGAGGGAUUGAGG